rnacentral:tRNA from 1 species
GCGUCGGUGGCACAGCGGUAGAGUGCUUGCCUAUCAUGCAGGGGGUCCGAGGUUCAAUCCCCGGACGGUGCA